rnacentral:rRNA from 1 species
GUGGGGAAUAUUGGACAAUGGGGGGAACCCUGAUCCAGCCAUGCCGCGUGUGUGAAGAAGGUCUUCGGAUUGUAAAGCACUUUAAGUUGGGAGGAAGGGCAGUAAGUUAAUACCUUGCUGUUUUGACGUUACCGACAGAAUAAGCACCGGCUAACUUCGUGCCAGCAGCCGCGGUAAUACGAAGGGUGCAAGCGUUAAUCGGAAUUACUGGGCGUAAAGCGCGCGUAGGUGGUUUUGUAAGUUGGAAGUGAAAUCCCCGGGCUCAACCUGGGAACUGCGUUCAAAACUGCUGAGCUAGAGUACGGUAGAGGGUGGUGGAAUUUCCUGUGUAGCGGUGAAAUGCGUAGAUAUAGGAAGGAACACCAGUGGCGAAGGCGACCACCUGGACUGAUACUGACACUGAGGUGCGAAAGCGUGGGGAGCAAACAGGAUUAGAAACCCCUGUAGUCC